CUGGACUGGACCAGUAAUGGGCCCUACUGAGUCACGGCCUUUCUUUUUACUUUUUUUACCGCAAAACGCGACUAAGGUGACGUGGAAAGGCCGGCCCUAUCCAGGCAAGUUGAUGAGGCAUUAAAUUACAUAAAACUCAUAUGAUUACAGAAAAAAAAGAAAGGAGGAAAAAGUCAAAAAGGCACAGAGAAGGCAUCCCCUUGUGACUCUGUUACGUCCGUUAAUUUCGGCUCCC